rnacentral:tRNA from 1 species
GCAGUUGUGGCUUAGCGACUAAGCCGCUGGACUUGAAAUCCAAUGGGGUUUCCCCGCGCAGAGUCAAGUGCUGCCGACUGCG